GUGCCAGCCGCCGCGGUAAGACGAGCCACCCGAACGUUAUUCGGAAUUACUGGGCUUAAAGGGUGCGUAGGCGGUGCAGCAAGUCGGGAGUGAAAUACCUCAGCUCAACUGAGGAACUGCUCUCGAUACUGCUGUGCUUGAGUGAGACAGAGGUAAGCGGAACAUCGGGUGGAGCGGUGAAAUGCGUUGAUAUCCGAUGGAACACCGGUGGCGAAGGCGGCUUACUGGGUCUCUACUGACGCUGAGGCACGAAAGCUAGGGUAGCAAACGGGAUUAGAUACCCCCGUAGUCC
rnacentral:rRNA from 1 species